CAAUUGGAAUGUAAAACAAUUAUUCCUAUACUUAACAGCAGAAUAUAUUACACCAAACAAUGAACUGAAUCAGGUUGUAUUGUGGGACAAAAUCAUCCUAAGAGGUGAAAAUGCACUCUAGACUUUAAAAAUAUGAACACAAAAUAUUACUUCUGGGAUGAUGGUAAUGGUUUAAAAGCACACAAUAAUGUCACACUGACAUUGUCAUGGAAUAUCAUUCCUAAUGUAUAUCUCCUGCCCAACAUACAAGCUAUUGGCCAACAUUCCUUUAAAUUCUUUACAGAGUACACUCAAACAAGAGUAUGAUCCAGGGGAUAUUUUUAAAAAAUAUAUUCCUGAUUCUUUUAGUAUGAGGGAUGAAAGUAAGGUCGCAAAGUUUCAAUUAUAAAUCUCUAUUCAAAAUUGACUUUAAUUUUAUACCUUUAAGGUUUCUUAUUAAUAUGUUAAGUAUCUAAGAUUGAAAUGUAGAAAAUAAUGCAGUCAAAACAUAAGUUUUCACAAACAAAAAAAUUGGAAUACAUUUAAU